rnacentral:rRNA from 1 species
UAGGGAAUCUUCCGCAAUGGACGCAAGUCUGACGGAGCAACGCCGCGUGAGUGAAGAAGGAUUUCGGUUCGUAAAACUCUGUUGUUAGAGAAGAACAGCGCAUAGAGUAACUGUUAUGCGUGUGACGGUAUCUAACCAGAAAGCCACGGCUAACUACGUGCCAGCAGCCGCGGUAAUACGUAGGUGGCAAGCGUUGUCCGGAUUUAUUGGGCGUAAAGCGAGCGCAGGCGGUUAGAAAAGUCUGAAGUGAAAGGCAGUGGCUCAACCAUUGUAGGCUUUGGAAACUGUUUAACUUGAGUGCAGAAGGGGAGAGGGGAGUUCCAUGUGUAGCGGGGAAAUGCGUAGAUAUAUGAAGGAACACCGGUGGCGAAAGCGGCUCUCUGGUCUGUAACUGACGCUGAGGCUCGAAAGCGUGGGGAGCGAACAGG